AAUUAUUUUCCUCCCCUGUCCAAUUUAUUAUUUGAUUUUAAAUUGUUUCCAUUUGGUAUCAAUACAAGCUCAGGCACUUACGAUGCCUUUCUUUGCGGGGAGGGAAGGGAUGACUCCAGCAGAAGGCAUUGAGAGACAGGCAUUUCAGAACAACCCAUGAGCACAGCAUGCUUAUGACUGAUCAGAAACCUAGAAUUAAGUCGGAGAUUAAAUCAAGGAAUGUAAGCGUUUCAACCCUUCUCUGUCAAGUUCAAGGCGAAUAUUGCCCAUUCAGCUAUUGGGCAAGGGGGGUGUGCUCCUUCUGGUUCAUAGAUCAUUUUUGAUCUAUGUUUGGCCAUAGGUUUUCUGAGAGCACACCUCAGAUUUCCUCAUACUUCACAGACUAGAGUCUUUCUAUGUCACAUAUGGCUUGUCCUGGAUGGUAGCGACAGCUUUUCCUUCCUUCUUGGACCCGGUGCCUACAGAACUAGGGAGGAGUAUGCCUGGUUGGCAUCACAUAUUGCUGACAUUUCCCAGAUCUUCAGGCUCCUCACAACCUCCCUGGCUAUGGGAGGCUGCGGGUCUUGAAGGCAGUGACACCUUUGAAACCUCGGUUAUCAUUAAAGUCUUUCAGAUACUCCCGACUCUACUAUGAGCCUGCUAGUAAUGAAGGAUAUUCAAAUGAAGCCUUGACUAAGCAGAGGGAACCUGGGAGUCAGAAGGUUCAGCUGUUCUCAGACACUUUUAUUGAAGAAGAAUACCUCUUACCAGUGCUUCAGAGGGAGAAAAAAACACCUGAACAGCAAUCCACAGCAAGUUGCACCCAAAAGGCUCUGACUUCAGACAUGGAAGAUAGCACUGAAAUGAAGGAAAGAGCGGAUGCCACUAAAAAAUUCAUUCACAUUCAGACUCUCCGAGCAGGUGAUAUAUUUGGUCUGGUAUAUGUAGUCUUUGAAGAUGCACUUAGCAUGACCUUGGUUUCUGAUGGAGCUGAGUGCAUUGUGGUAUCAAAGGAGUUCUUCAAGAAGCACAUGAAUGAAGACUAUCGCCAAAAAUUAUGCACAACUGUUCAGCCUUAUCCUUCUAAAGAGAUGCUACAAAGAAAGAUGCAGGACUAUAUCAAUUGGAAAGCUUACAAAUCUUUGCUGAUCAAUGGACCACAUUAGCCAUUGGGAAACUGAUGGGAGCUCCAGGAAUUCAGAAACUUUAGAAAACAUCAAGCCCAAAGUAUAAUUUAAUAUUUCUUUAAAAAAAAAAUCUUGCCUGGUGGGGCUGAGGAAGACUGUUACUCCUACCACAGCUUGCAUUUGCUUCUUCGGUGUACGUGCUUGCAAACAAGUGUCUGAUGCCAGAAAUGUGUCGUUGUUGUUUUCAAGUAGUUUCUAUAAAUGCUUCCGUGGAGAAGUGCAUUAAAAUUGAAUGUGUCAGUAUUUCAUCUCAUUCUGACUUUAAUAAAAGUAUAAGCAUUUA